GGCGGUUUAGCUCAGUUGGUUAGAGCAUCGGAAUCAUAAUCCGAGUGUCGUUGGUUCAAAUCCGACAACCGCUA
rnacentral:tRNA from 2 species